rnacentral:snoRNA from 1 species
GCAUGGAUGAAUUCUGUUUUGCUUCUUCAGUAGCUAAUGCAGUCAGACACCAUGCUAGAAUAUAUUUCCUUUUCAAGUAUUGCUAAUGGUAUGCUUUUGUGUGAAGUUGAGUAUGCCUGUGCAAGAAAUGGAUACAUGA